rnacentral:rRNA from 1 species
UAAAUAGUUAGGCCAACUUUUAGUUGGUCGCCAACUUCUUAGAGGGACUAUUGACGUUUAGUCAAUGGAAGUUUGAGGCAAUAACAGGUCUGUGAUGCCCUUAGAUGUUCUGGGCCGCACGCGCGCUACACUGACGAAGUCAGCAAGUUUAUAACCUUGGCCGGAAGGUCUG